rnacentral:lncRNA from 13 species
CCAGCAUAGAUACCUGCUAAGUAUUCCAAACCCACUGCAUUUUCUGCAAGCAUCCCGUGCUCUAUUUGGGGCCUGUGACUUCAUCACUGUUUGACAUUUGGUUUUUUGCUUAGUUUAGUUUUGUUUUUGAGACAGAGUCUCUCUGUCACCAGGCUACAGUGCAGCGGUGUGAUCUCAGAUCACUGCAGCAUCCUCCUACUGCAUUAAGCAAUUCUCCUGCCUCAGCCUCCCGAGUAGCUGGGACUGAAGGUUCUCGCAACCACCAUGCCAGGUUUUUUGUAGUUUGUAGUAGAGAUGGCGUUUCACCAUGCCGGAUUUUUUGAAGUUUUUAGUACAGACAGGGUUUCACCAUGUUGGCCAGGAUGCCCUCAACCUCUUGCCCUCAUGAUCUGCCCGCCUCAGCCUUGUCACAUGCUGGAUUACAUGCGUGAACCACCGCGCCCAGCCUGCCAUCUGGUUAUCUAACGUCACCAAGUGAACAUUAGACCUGUGCCAGCGGGACCCAGCAUGAUGUCAUCCUCAUGGUGUUUCUUUUUCUCUUAUUGCAGGAGAAGCCCACCGCUUGGUGUCACCGCCGUCCCGUUGAGGUCCCACAGGACCUCAUAUUAGAAGACAUUGAGGAUGAUGAGCUACCCCGUGAUGUGGUAAGAUGCAUUUCUUUGUCUCCAAGAGAAAUUUUUCUUUCUGGGGACUCUGAAAUAUCAGGUGAACAUCCUUUUUGACUGCCAUUGUGAAUCGGACCUCAGGUGUCAUGGAGUCUAGCAACGAGUCAGUGGAGUUUCUCACCAAUGAGGCCUGAUUGACGAAGUCAGUCAAAAGAUGGCAUAACUUAGAAUCUGGUCUUGUGCAUAUUUCUCAGUAGCCACAUUUUCUCCUUGAAAAAUAAUUUUGUAUUUUUCAGCCAGCAUAGAUACCUGCUAAGUAUUCCAAAGCCACUGCAUUUUCUGCAAGCACCCCCUAUGCACCAUUUGGGGCCUGUGACUUCAUCACUGUUUGACAUCUGGUUUUUUGUUUAGUUUAGUUUUGCUUUUGAGACAGAGUCUCUCGGUCUCCAGGCUACAGUGCAGUGGUGUGAUCUCAGAUCGCUGCAGCAUCCUCUUCCUGCAUUCAUGCAAUUC